UACGGGGGGGGCAAGCGUUGUUCGGAAUUACUGGGCGUAAAGAGCUCGUAGGCGGUUUGUCGCGUCUGCCGUGAAAGUCCGGGGCUCAACUCCGGAUCUGCGGUGGGUACGGGCAGACUAGAGUGAUGUAGGGGAGACUGGAAUUCCUGGUGUAGCGGUGAAAUGCGCAGAUAUCAGGAGGAACACCGAUGGCGAAGGCAGGUCUCUGGGCAUUAACUGACGCUGGGGAGCGAAAGCAUGGGGAGCGAACAGG
rnacentral:rRNA from 1 species